UACGGAGGGUGCGAGCGUUGUCCGGAAUCACUGGGCGUAAAGCGUGCGCAGGCGGUUUUAUAAGCCAGAUGUGAAAGCCCCGGGCUCAACCUGGGAAUGGCAUUUGGGACUGUAAGGCUGGAGUAUGGCAGAGGAGACUAGAAUUCCUGGUGUAGCAGUGAAAUGCGUAGAUAUCAGGAGGAAUACCGAUGGCGAAGGCAGGUCUCUGGGCCAAUACUGACGCUCAUGCACGAAAGCGUGGGGAGCAAACAGG
rnacentral:rRNA from 1 species